CGGCUGGAAACUGCGCCCUCAAGAGAAGCACAACACUAGAAAAUGCAUCAAAUUCACACUCUUGAAUGAAUACUACAUUAAGACCUUCAAGCGUCUCUGAUCAUUCAGCAGUCUGCACAAAAAACAGGAAACUUUUAGACACAAGCUUCAAGAGGCUCGGAUUCCUAUUUCAAAAGAGACUUACAUCAGCUUUCAUGGAAGACCGAUCAAAACCUUGUACUACCCAACGCACAGCUUCAGGAACAGUCGGGCAGCGGAAGUUACAGCUCAGGUGCUUGUCGGCCAUCUUGGACGCGUCAUCAGUGACGCCCGUCAACCUGAGCUAAAUAGUGACGUCAUUACAGCGCCAUGGCCCAUCUCGGAAGUAUCUUUAUGUGUAGUGUAACCAUAUCACUUCCACCUGGUCAAUGGAUAUUUAAUAGUUUGAUGGAAGAUUUAUUCAAUCCUCCAUCACAUUAUUAAAGAGCAUCAAUUAUAACAUGUCACAUGAUAUGAUUUUAUUGGGAAUAAAAUGCUUUGAUUUGAAUAUUCAUUGCUAUUCCUUCACAAACUCCAAGGGACUUUUUGGAUUCACUUUAAUAAAAGUGGGUUCAUUCAUAGUGAAACUUUUGAUCAGGGAACAUCAGUCCAAACUAAACGAAUUACAACAAUUCCAUAAUUAAAUGUUGUAUGAUGCACAUUAUAUCGCCCGAAGUUGGCGGGGAUGGACUCCAGCGCCCCCCC
ensembl:lncRNA